GAAGACAUAGGGUGAGGCUAACACAAGCAGGCUGCAACUGCUCUAAAUGAUUUAAAAACUGCAGUUUUCUAUGAAUUUGCUCUGCAAGUCAAAAUCAGAAGGGAAGAGUAUUAGUCUUUCCUUUUUCCAUCUGCAUGGGAGAUGUUUGUAAAAUUCUUGUAUUUAUGAGGCUUUUGGCUCCCUCUUCCCAAAGUUAGGGAGUAGAAAGACUUUUAUUUUCUCUACUCUGUAUUAUUUGAUGCAGUUCAGGGGACCAUCUGUCACACAGCACCAAGACCCGAAUAGUUUUUUGAAAGUGAAAGAAGCACCAGUUCAAGCACCUUCCAGAGACAGCACUUUACACGAAAACAUGUGGAUAUGCUACUUACAGCUACAGCAUUGUGGAAGACUGCAGUGGAGGAGAAAAUUGUGGAUUUACCUUUGGUGUCUUGGCAGUGUUUGGUGUAGAAGGUCUCUUUGCGUAGGAUGAUUUCCUGGGCAAUGAUCCCAUAGCUGUACACAUCACCCUUCUGAGAUACGUCAGCAUGACGGAGAUGCUCAGGAGCUGUCCACAGGUCUGGAAAUCCAGAUGACGGUGGAAAAAAAGAAUUGAAUUACAGCCAAAAUCAGUGAUCUUCACAACCAUGCGACUGUCCACUACGCAGUUCGUGGAUUUGAGCCGACCAUGGACUUCUGUUUUGCUUGAGUGAAGAGACCACUGCUACUGAUGAGAGUCUUUUGUACAGUCUAGGAAGCAAAGACCACUAGUGCUUGCAGAAAAUCUGACACCACCACGAUUAGCUCUGAAAUAAUACCGGUAACAAUAAACUUCCU